rnacentral:rRNA from 1 species
AACGAGUUCUGAAAGGGGUU